AUACGGAGGGUGCGAGCGUUAAUCGGAAUUACUGGGCGUAAAGCGCGCGUAGGCGGCCUGAUAAGCCGGUUGUGAAAGCCCCGGGCUCAACCUGGGAACGGCAUCCGGAACUGUCAGGCUAGAGUGCAGGAGAGGAAGGUAGAAUUCCCGGUGUAGCGGUGAAAUGCGUAGAGAUCGGGAGGAAUACCAGUGGCGAAGGCGGCCUUCUGGACUGACACUGACGCUGAGGUGCGAAAGCGUGGGUAGCAAACAGGAUUAGAUACCCUGGUAGUCCACGCCGUAAACGAUGUCGACUAGCCGUUGGGGUCCUUGAGACCUUUGUGGCGCAGUUAACGCGAUAAGUCGACCGCCUGGGGAGUACGGCCGCAAGGUUAAA
rnacentral:rRNA from 1 species